rnacentral:lncRNA from 1 species
GUGUCUAAUGGGACAUCACCGUUCCAUGGCUCUUGUUCGGUCAGAUCUCCCUCCAGAAGACUCAAAACACUUUGUAAAGGCUGGUGACAUCUAGUGGAAGCAAUAGGAAGUGCCAAAAUAUUCCUAAACCCCUGUGUUUUUCAAUGGGAUAGGUUUAAAGUCAAUACAACACAUCAGGUAUCCACUUCCUGUCAGAAAAUGUCUCAGGGUUUUGCCUGCCAAAUGAGUUCUGUUAUACUCACAGACACCAUUCAAACAGUUUUGGAAACUUUAGAGUGUUUUCUAUCAAUAUAUAAUAAGUAUAUGCAUAUUCUAGUUACUGGGUAGGAUUAGUAACCAGAUUAAAUCGGGUACAUUUUUUUUAUCCAGACGUGCAAAUGCUGCCCCCUAGACCCAACAGGUUAAGUACAUAGGAUAUAUUCUAAGCCAACAGGACAGGGAUAUAUGACAUCUGUGGUGAUCAUGAAGAGUAUGGAGAUACAUUUAAGUAGCUAUGGAAUCAUCUCAGGGAUUACUAUUAUAAGACGUGGAUUUUUCUAAAAUACAUGAGAGCCUUGUGUCAAAAGGGUGGGCCAGGAGGAGAGCAAGAUAGAGAGCAGAAGGUAAGAUUCCCAUAAUAAGUCAGGAUUGAGAGAAGAUAGAAGUGAUACAGAAUUGUUAGAUAACAGUUACUGAGUGGAGAGCAGCAUAGUUAAGUUUUAGGCAGGUAAAAAUGAAAACUGAAUUGUAGAAGUGAGAACUUAACCUGGGGUCCACUUAGACGUGGGGCCCGAUUAAUGUCAGGAUGAUUUGUUUUUAACUUAGGAACAGGAAGAAGAGUUAAAAGCGGUACACUCCGUGUUAGAUUCCCAAGGACCCAUUGAUGUGGGGUUAAUUAAAGGAGUUAUUUUAGUGUGAAUUACAGGAGAAGAUGAUUCACUCAAUCCAACCAGGAGACUGGGUGUGGAUCCAGUCCCUGAGGAGAAAAGAACUGGAAGCAGCCACGGUGGGAGGGCCCAUACCAAGUGUUCCUGGUAAUAGCCUUCGUGUUGAGAAUAGCUGAAAGAGCUACCUGGGUUCAUAUCACACAUUGCGGGAGGGUAAGACACACUGACACUGUCGAACAAUCACAGAGUUAGGAGAAGAACCGAAUACCAAUAAGGUUUGGGGGUUACCUCUCUAACGAAGAUUCCCUAACCCGCCCGAUCCUCACUGUGUGCGUUCAUAGAAGUGAAAGUGUGGGUUGGCCUCUAGCCAGUGAUAUAUUCACCGGGAGGGGAUGGGGCUUUACAGGGGUACUGGUCAGUCUGAGCUGUCUGAUUGUGGGAGCCAUAUUCCUAAUACACCAUGAACCACUCCAGAAGUCAGAAAGUGGUAACUUGACCCAUAGUGUAGAAGAUGAGGAGUUUUUAUGGCCUAGGUACAAAAGGUCACUCGAUCUGGAUAAAAAGGAAGUGAGAGUAGAGUUAGGGAAGGAUGUCUCAAUAGAGUUCUAUGCAGACCAAAUGGGGUCCCUA